rnacentral:rRNA from 1 species
GACGAACGCUGGCGGCGUGCUUAACACAUGCAAGUCGAGUGGUGAACUGGAGCUUGCUCCGGGGAUCAGCGGCGAACGGGUGAGUAAACACGUGGGCAAACCUGCCCUCAGCUCUGGGAUAACUCCGGGAAACCGGGGCUAAUACCGGAUACGACUUCCUGCGGCAUCUUGGGAAGUGGAAAGUUUUUCGGCUGAGGAUGGGCCCGCGGCCUAUCAGCUUGUUGGUGGGUAACGGCCCACCAAGGCGACGACGGGUAGCCGGCCUGAGAGGGCGACCGGCCACACUGGGACUGAGACACGGCCCCAGACUCCUACGGGAGGGCAGCAGUGGGGAAUAUUGCGCAAUGGGCGAAAGCCUGACGCAGCGACGCCGCGUGA